rnacentral:rRNA from 1 species
AGCACAGAGAGCUUGCUCUCGGGUGACGAGCGGCGGACGGGUGAGUAAUGUCUGGGAAACUGCCUGAUGGAGGGGGAUAACUACUGGAAACGGUAGCUAAUACCGCAUAACGUCGCAAGACCAAAGUGGGGGACCUUCGGGCCUCAUGCCAUCAGAUGUGCCCAGAUGGGAUUAGCUAGUAGGUGGGGUAACGGCUCACCUAGGCGACGAUCCCUAGCUGGUCUGAGAGGAUGACCAGCCACACUGGAACUGAGACACGGUCCAGACUCCUACGGGAGGCAGCAGUGGGGAAUAUUGCACAAUGGGCGCAAGCCUGAUGCAGCCAUGCCGCGUGUAUGAAGAAGGCCUUCGGGUUGUAAAGUACUUUCAGCGGGGAGGAAGGCGAUAAGGUUAAUAACCUUGUCGAUUGACGUUACCCGCAGAAGAAGCACCGGCUAACUCCGUGCCAGCAGCCGCGGUAAUACGGAGGGUGCAAGCGUUAAUCGGAAUUACUGGGCGUAAAGCGCACGCAGGCGGUCUGUCAAGUCGGAUGUGAAAUCCCCGGGCUCAACCUGGGAACUGCAUUCGAAACUGGCAGGCUAGAGUCUUGUAGAGGGGGGUAGAAUUCCAGGUGUAGCGGUGAAAUGCGUAGAGAUCUGGAGGAAUACCGGUGGCGAAGGCGGCCCCCUGGACAAAGACUGACGCUCAGGUGCGAAAGCGUGGGGAGCAAACAGGAUUAGAUACCCUGGUAGUCCACGCCGUAAACGAUGUCGAUUUGGAGGUUGUGCCCUUGAGGCGUGGCUUCCGGAGCUAACGCGUUAAAUCGACCGCCUGGGGAGUACGGCCGCAAGGUUAAAACUCAAAUGAAUUGACGGGGGCCCGCACAAGCGGUGGAGCAUGUGGUUUAAUUCGAUGCAACGCGAAGAACCUUACCUGGUCUUGACAUCCACAGAACUUUCCAGAGAUGCUUUGGUGCCUUCGGGAACUGUGAGACAGGUGCUGCAUGGCUGUCGUCAGCUCGUGUUGUGAAAUGUUGGGUUAAGUCCCGCAACGAGCGCAACCCUUAUCCUUUGUUGCCAGCGGUUCGGCCGGGAACUCAAAGGAGACUGCCAGUGAUAAACUGGAGGAAGGUGGGGAUGACGUCAAGUCAUCAUGGCCCUUACGACCAGGGCUACACACGUGCUACAAUGGCAUAUACAAAGAGAAGCGACCUCGCGAGAGCAAGCGGACCUCAUAAAGUAUGUCGUAGUCCGGAUUGGAGUCUGCAACUCGACUCCAUGAAGUCGGAAUCGCUAGUAAUCGUAGAUCAGAAUGCUACGGUGAAUACGUUCCCGGGCCUUGUACACACCGCCCGUCACACCAUGGGAGUGGGUUGCAAAAGAAGUAGGUAGCUUAACCUUCGGGAGGGCGCUUACCACUUU